rnacentral:rRNA from 1 species
GACAGAGGGUGCGAACGUUGCUUGGAAUCACUGGGCGUAAAGCGCGCGUAGGCGGACCGGAAAGUCGGUUGUGAAAUCCCUGGGCUCAACCCAGGAACUGCAUCCGAAACUCCCGGUCUCGAGUGACGGAGAGGAUAGUGGAAUUCCCGGUGUAGAGGUGAAAUUCGUAGAUAUCGGGAGGAACACCAGUGGCGAAGGCGGCUAUCUGGACGUCCACUGACGCUGAGGCGCGAAAGCGUGGGGAGCAAACAGG